CACUUUGUGGUUCAUGACUGGGGUGAAGUCGUAACAAGGUAGCCCUAGGGGAACCUGGGGCUGGAUCACCUCCUUAUACGAUGAU
rnacentral:rRNA from 1 species